ACAAUUAGCUGUUGGGACACUAGAUGUCUUAGUAGCGAAGCUAACGCGUGAAAUUGUCCGCCUGGGGAGUACGGUCGCAAGAUUAAAACUCAAAGGAAUUGACGGGGACCCGCACAAGCGGUGGAUGAUGUGGAUUAAUUCGAUGCAACGCGAAGAACCUUACCUGGUCUUGACAUGUACGGAAUCUCUUAGAGAUAGGAGAGUGCCUUCGGGAACCGUAACACAGGUGCUGCAUGGCUGUCGUCAGCUCGUGUCGUGAGAUGUUGGGUUAAGUCCCGCAACGAGCGCAACCCUUGUCAUUAGUUGCCAUCAUUAAGUUGGGCACUCUAAUGAGACUGCCGGUGANANNCCGGAGGAAGGUGGGGAUGACGUCAAGUCCUCAUGGCCCUUAUGACCAGGGCUUCACACGUCAUACAAUGGUCGGUACAGAGGGUAGCGAAGCCGCGAGGUGAAGCCAAUCUCAGAAAGCCGAUCGUAGUCCGGAUUGCACUCUGCAACUCGAGUGCAUGAAGUCGGAAUCGCUAGUAAUCGCAGGUCAGCAUACUGCGGUGAAUACGUUCCCGGGUCU
rnacentral:rRNA from 1 species